rnacentral:rRNA from 1 species
GAGUUUGAUCGUGGCUCAGAUUGAACGCUGGCGGCAUGCCUUACACAUGCAAGUCGAACGGCAGCAUGAUCUAGCUUGCUAGAUUGAUGGCGAGUGGCGAACGGGUGAGUAAUACAUCGGAACGUGCCCUGUAGUGGGGGAUAACUAGUCGAAAGAUUAGCUAAUACCGCAUACGACCUGAGGGUGAAAGUGGGGGACCGCAAGGCCUCGUGCUAUAGGAGCGGCCGAUGUCUGAUUAGCUAGUUGGUGGGUAAAGGCCCACCAAGGCGACGAUCAGUAGCUGGUCUGAGAGGACGAUCAGCCACACUGGGACUGAGACACGGCCCAGACUCCUACGGGAGGCAGCAGUGGGGAAUUUUGGACAAUGGGCGAAAGCCUGAUCCAGCAAUGCCGCGUGUGUG